rnacentral:misc_RNA from 1 species
GGCGAAUUUGGACUCAAAGUACGCCUGCUUACAUUAAAAGUUUGUAUGGCUCUAUUCCAAACCGUAUCCAACAUGUCAUCAGACUUAAAGGACACCUAACAAAAUAUUUAACCGAGAUCCCAAGUCACUGAUGAAUGUUUUGUAUCUUAACAAUACAAUGCAUUUUGAAAUGAGAAGCAGAGCUGAACAUAUCAGUCUUAGAUUGGGUGAUGUGCAGCAAAAGGUCACCUCGACUAGAGAGGAAUAUUUAGAAUAUAGAGAGAGAUCAACAAAGACAAGAACUGGGGUCACAAGUGAGAGUCAAAGUUUGCACCAAAGAUGUUUGAAAAUAGAGAUAAUCCGCGAUGCCCUGUUUUAGCGUAUAAGGAGUUUGCAAGGAGAAGACCAGAACAGAUGAACAGCCCCAAUCAGUCGCCAUUUUACUUAAGAGUUUCAAGGCACCCUGAAAAAGCUUGGUAUGUCAACCAACCAAUGGGAAAGAAUACGAUUGGCAACAUUGUGAAGGUCAUGUGUGAGGCAGGGGGAAUCCAAGGAAGAAAAGUUAACCACAGCGAAAGAAAGACAGCCAUUAGUUCCCUAGUACAUGCUGGUGUCCCCCCAACCAUAAUUAAACAGAAGUCCGGCCAUAAGAAUGUUAACUCUAUUAAUAAUUACAACACCGCCUCCAAUGAACAGCAGAGGCACAUGUCUUCUAUUCUUACAAACUAUUCAUCUAGUUGCUCGGAACCAACAGUCACAGAAUUCGACAGUUCCUCUUCAUCCCUUGAUAAAUUUAGCUCAGUUCUGCCAUCCACCUGUGUGGUGCCUUCAUCAAAUACUGACGAUAUUAUUCAUCAAACACUGACUGAAAUAAGUUCUUAUGAAAAUCAACCCAUAAUGAAAGAGCAUGUCUUUGGCAGUUUUAGGGGGGCCAAUAUUUCUGGCAAUGUUAUAUUUAACUUCUCUUCCAAACAACCAAAAUUCCUUAAGAGAUGUAGAGUCACCUUCAGUGAUUUAGAGUCAGAUCAAGAAAAAGGAAGUAGAUCUGUGAUAUUUUGUAAAUAUGUUCAAAUAUUAAAAGUGAAGUUGUGUUAUAGCUAUAAUGACUAUGAUAUUUUCUUUGUUAUUAAAUUUUGUUAUUGUUCAAAAAUAUGAAAGAUUAUUUGUGUUUAAAUUAUCUGUUAAGUUUACCAGUAAUGUGUUAAACUUUGUCUUUAUAUAUGUAUCAUAUUGAUAAAAAUGAAAGUUGAAUCAUUUAUGUUUAUAAGAAAAAGGAACUUGGUCUGUUAUAUCUUGUAAAUAUAUAUAUGUUCAAAUAUUAAAAGUGAAGUUCUUUUAUAGCUAUAACUGUGAUAUUUCCUUUGUUAUUAAAUGUUGUUUUUGUUAAACAAUAUGAAAGUUUAUGUGUUCAAAUUAUCUUUUAAGUUGCUGUUUGUUAUAAUUGUGUUAAAUUUUGUCUUCAUACAUGUAUCAUAUUGUUAAAAAUGAACUAUCAUUUAUGUUCAUAUUCUCUGUUUAAGUUGUUGUUACUAAACAAACUAAAUUG